AUACGUAUGGAGCAAGCGUUAUCCGGAUUUACUGGGUGUAAAGGGAGUGUAGGUGGCCAGGCAAGUCAGAAGUGAAAGCCCGGGGCUCAACCCCGGGACUGCUUUUGAAACUGCAGGGCUAGAGGGUGCAGGAGGGGCAAGUGGAAUUCCUAGUGUAGCGGUGAAAUGCGUAGAUAUUAGGAGGAACACCAGUGGCGAAGGCGGCUUGCUGGACUGUAACUGACACUGAGGCUCGAAAGCGUGGGGAGC
rnacentral:rRNA from 1 species